ACGCUCGACACCUACGAGAGGCAGCAGUGGGGAAUAUUGCACAAUGGGGGAAACCCUGAUGCAGCGACGCCGCGUGAGUGAAGAAGUAUUUCGGUAUGUAAAGCUCUAUCAGCAGGGAAGAAGAUGACGGUACCUGAGUAAGAAGCCCCGGCUAACUACGUGUCAGCAGCCGCGGUAAUCUGAGCGGGCUGGCCAAGGC
rnacentral:rRNA from 1 species